GGAGACAUGGAAUUCAGGUCUAUAUCCCUUGUCAACUUAGGAUCCACAGAACCCAUAAUGUGCUUUCGAGUGUCGCUAUCUUCAGACACAAAUUCAUUGUCACUAUUACAGAAGCUGCUUUGAACACUUGCGCUACAAAAUGUUGAUCUGAAUUCAAGAUUUAUACCACAGCAAGACUUAUCUCCAGGAAUUUCAGGGCCUCUGAACUUAGAGCUUCUAAUCAACUGUACAGGGUUAAACCAUGGAAUUGCUAUAGGGGCUCUCACGAGUUCACAUGUAUGCUUUCUCCAAGAUGAAACGGAUGAUGAAUCAUAUGUCUUUACGUCAUCCAGAGGAAUGAGUUCAGUUGAGAUAUGCUUGCGAGCAGAAGCAGUCUUUUCAGGAUUGCUUUCCAAAUCAAAAUCCUUCCUUUCUCUAUGCAAUUUUCCACUGUUUAGAUUCAAUAAAUGAGAAGUUGCAAGUGCACUGGCUUGCUCAAUCUCAACAUCUUUGGAUGAUGCAGAUAGUUUUUCUGUACAAAUCCUUGCAGGGAAAGAAUUCAUUUCACCACUACUUUGCACAGCUUCAGCAUUAUCAGAUAGGCACUCCUGUCGACUUUCAUCCUUGUCCAGGUGUAACACACUUGAGAAAGCUUCAGGAUCCACUCUUGUCUGGAUAUUUUGGACUAUCUCCUUUGGUUGAGAUUGGAUGUCUGAAUUUCUUUUUGCAGACAGAUCCUGGCAGGGGAUCUCUCUAAGGUCUGCCACAGGACCAAGAAAAACAUUGGAUUCAGGAUUUGUUUCUUCCUCAAGCCUGAUGGGUUCAUUCAAAUCAGCUA
rnacentral:misc_RNA from 1 species